rnacentral:rRNA from 1 species
GCAAGUCGAACGUGAAAACCCUCGGGUGAGUAGCGUGGCGGACGGGCGAGUAACACGUAAUCAAGCUACCUGGCAGACGGGGAUAACUUCGGGAAACCGAUCGUAAAACCCGAUAGUCUCACGACAUCGCAUGGUGAUGUGAGUAAAUGGACGGGACCCUCCGGGGCCGUCUGCUGCCAGAGGUGAUUGCGGCCCAUCAGUUUGUUGGUAGGGUAACGGCCUACCAAGACUACGACGGGUAGCCGGCCUAAGAGGGUGGCCGGUCGCACUGGGACUGAGACACUGCCCAGACUCCUACGGGAGGCUGCAGUCGAGAAUCUUCCGCAAUGGACGAAAGUCUGACGGAGCGACGCCGCGUGGAGGACGAAGGCCUUCGGGUUGUAAACUCCUGUCACGAGUUAAGAAGUGUAUAUGACUAAUAGUUGUAUGCAUUGACGAAGGCUCGAGAGGAAGCACUGGCUAACUCUGUGCCAGCAGCCGCGGUAAUACAGAGAGUGCGAACAUUGUUCGGAAUUACUGGGCUUAAAGAGUACGUAGGCGGCACAACAAGUGUCAGGUGAAAUCCCACGGCUUACCCGUGGAACUGCCUGGCAAACUGUUGAGCUAGAGUGUGGUAGGGGAGAACAGAACUCAUGGUGGAGCGGUGAAAUGCGUAGAUAUCAUGAGGAAUACCGGUGGCGAAGGCGGUUCUCUGGUCCACAACUGACGCUGAGGUACGAAAGCUAGGGUAGCGAACGGGAUUAGAUACCCCGGUAGUCCUAGCCGUAAACGAUGGGCACUAGCUUGGGGCCUCCCUGUGUGGUUCCAGGUGAAGCAAAAGUAAUAAGUGCCCCGCCUGGGGAGUAUGGUCGCAAGGCUGAAACUCAAAGGAAUUGACGGGGGCUCACACAAGCGGUGGAGCAUGUGGUUUAAUUCGAAGCAACGCGAA